rnacentral:sRNA from 1 species
AUGCGUUAGGGAUAGGAGCGGUAUCUUUUUAAAGUCCGACAGGCUUUAAAAAAUUUAGCGGAUAGCCCGCCCGAAC